rnacentral:rRNA from 1 species
GAUCCUGGCUCAGAUUGAACGCUGGCGGAAUGCUUUACACAUGCAAGUCGAACGGUAGAGGGGGCAACCCCUCGAGAGUGGCGAACGGGUGAGUAAUAUAUCGGAACGUGCCCAGUCGUGGGGGGAUAACGUAGCGAAAGUUACGCUAAUACCGCAUACGAUCUACGGAUGAAAGCGGGGGAUCGCAAGACCUCGCGCGAUUGGAGCGGCCGAUAUCAGAUUAGGUAGUUGGUGGGGUAAAGGCUCACCAAGCCAACGAUCUGUAGCUGGUCUGAGAGGACGACCAGCCACACUGGAACUGAGACACGGUCCAGACUCCUACGGGAGGCAGCAGUGGGGAAUUUUGGACAAUGGACGCAAGUCUGAUCCAGCCAUUCCGCGUGCAGGAUGAAGGCCCUCGGGUUGUAAACUGCUUUUGUACGGAACGAAAAGGUUUCUAUUAAUACUAGGAGCUCAUGACGGUACCGUAAGAAUAAGCACCGGCUAACUACGUG